UAACGAAAGUCUGAUGGAGCAAUACCAUGUGAACGAUGAAGGCCUUUUUGGUUGUAAAGUUUUUUUAUGAGGGAUAACAAUGAUAGUACCUCAUGAAUAAGUGACAGCAAACUAUGUGCCAGCAGCUGCGGUAAUACAUAGGUCGCAAGCAUUAUUCGGAUUUAUUGGGCGUAAAGCAAGCGCAGGCGGAUGUGUAAGUUCUGUGUUAAAAGUAGCUACUUAAUAGUUGUUUGCACCGAAUACUACACGUCUAGAAUGUGGUAGGAAGUUUUGGAAUUAAACAUGGAGCGGUGGAAUGUGUAGAUAUGUUUAAGAACACCGGAGGCGAAGGCGAAAACUUAGGCCAUAAUUGACGCUUAGGCUUGAAAGUGUGGGGAGCAAAUGGGAUUAGAUACCCCAGUAGUCCACACCGAAAUCGAAUGUUUUUAUGU
rnacentral:rRNA from 1 species